rnacentral:rRNA from 1 species
AACGAACGCUGGCGGCAUGCCUAACACAUGCAAGUCGAACGAGACCUUCGGGUCUAGUGGCGCACGGGUGCGUAACGCGUGGGAACCUGCCCUUAGGUUCGGAAUAACUCCCCGAAAGGGGUGCUAAUACCGGAUAAUGUCUUCGGACCAAAGAUUUAUCGCCUUUGGAUGGGCCCGCGUUGGAUUAGCUAGUUGGUAGGGUAAAAGCCUACCAAGGCGACGAUCCAUAGCUGGUCUGAGAGGAUGAUCAGCCACACUGGGACUGAGACACGGCCCAGACUCCUACGGGAGGCAGCAGUGGGGAAUAUUGGACAAUGGGCGAAAGCCUGAUCCAGCAAUGCCGGGUGAGUGAUGAAGGCAUUAGGGUUGUAAAGCUCUUUUACCCGGGAUGAUAAUGACAGUACCGGGAGAAUAAGCUCCGGCUAACUCCGUG